rnacentral:rRNA from 1 species
CGUCAUGGCCAUAUUCAGAAAUAAGCACCGGAACCGUCAGAUCUCCAAAGUUAGCUUCUAAAAGCCAUGUUAGUACUCAAGCGAGAGAUCAUUGGGGAAAACAUGGUUUCGCGAUCU